rnacentral:rRNA from 1 species
GACGAACGCUGGCGGCGUGCCUAAUACAUGCAAGUAGAACGCUGAAGAGAGGAGCUUGCUCUUCUUGGAUGAGUUGCGAACGGGUGAGUAACGCGUAGGUAACCUGCCUUGUAGCGGGGGAUAACUAUUGGAAACGAUAGCUAAUACCGCAUAACAAUGGAUGACACAUGUCAUUUAUUUGAAAGGGGCAAUUGCUCCACUACAAGAUGGACCUGCGUUGUAUUAGCUAGUAGGUGAGGUAACGGCUCACCUAGGCGACGAUACAUAGCCGACCUGAGAGGGUGAUCGGCCACACUGGGACUGAGACACGGCCCAGACUCCUACGGGAGGCAGCAGUAGGGAAUCUUCGGCAAUGGGGGCAACCCUGACCGGGCAACGCCGCGUGAGUGAAGAAGGUUUUCGGAUCGUAAAGCUCUGUUGUAAGUCAAGAACGAGUGUGAGAGUGGAAAGUUCACACUGUGACGGUAGCUUACCAGAAAGGGACGGCUAACUACGUG